AUAAUGCAGUCGAGCGAACUUCUUUAGAGCUUGCUUUAAAGAAGUUAGCGGCGGACGGGUGAGUAACACGUGGGCAACCUGCCUGUAAGACUGGGAUAACUUCGGGAAACCGGAGCUAAUACCGGAUAAUAUAUAGUACCUCCUGGUACUAUAUUGAAAGAUGGCCUCUAGCUAUCACUUACAGAUGGGCCCGCGGCGCAUUAGCUAGUUGGUGAGGUAACGGCUCACCAAGGCAACGAUGCGUAGCCGACCUGAGAGGGUGAUCGGCCACACUGGGACUGAGACACGGCCCAAACUCCUACGGGAGGCAGCAUUAGGGAAUCUUCCACAAUGGACAAAAGUCUGAGGGACCACCCCCCCGGGAGCGAAGGAAGGCCUUCGGGCCGAAAAGCUCUGUUGUUAGGGAAGACCAAGUGCGAGAGUAACUGCUCGCACCUUGACGGUACCUAACCAGAAAGCCACGGCUAACUACGUGCCAGCAGCCGCGGUAAUACGUAGGUGGCAAGCGUUGUCCGGAAUUAUUGGGCGUAAAGCGCGCGCAGGCGGUUUCUUAAGUCUGAUGUGAAAGCCCACGGCUCAACCCGUGGAGGGUCAUUGGAAACUGGGAGACUUGAGUGCAGAAGAGGAGAGUGCAUUUCCACGUGUAGCGGUGAAAUGCGUAGAGAUGUGAGGAACACCAGUGCCGAAGGCGACUCUCUGGUCUGUAACUGACCGCUGAGGCGCGAAAGCGUGGGAGCAAACAGGAUUAGAUACCCUGUAGUCCACCGCCGUAAACGAUGAGUGCUAAGUGUU
rnacentral:rRNA from 2 species